UAAGUUUUUUGACAGCAGCCAUGAUUACCACUUCACAACCUACUAAUAUGUAAGGUGCAGAAGAGAAAAGUCUUGCAUGUGACAGCAGUCAGUGCCUCCAGAACAUUUGAUUAACAAAGGUAGAGGUCCCUCCUGGACAACUCCUGUCUGACUGAGCUGCCAUAGACUGCAGAGCAAACCAAAGAUGCUCUUCGCCAUCAGUGUCAGCCUGGAAAAGGGGAAAUGUUGCUGGUCACCCUUGGAAAUAAGGAGCUCCGUCAAAAGGAGAAAGAAAUUAGAUAACAAGUGCAUGCAUGUGUGAGUGCUUGUGGGACUAAAUUCAUGUGAAAUACUGGACCUGAUUGCUGGGCUCAUAAAAAGCAAGGGGAGAAAAUGGGAAGAACCAGACUAAGAAACCUCUUGGGAUGAGUUAAACAUGGGAAAAUUGCUCACUGGUUACUAUCACAGACAGAACAAACUCAAACUUAACUAUCUUAAGCUGUUUUAUUCCUUUGCUCCAAACUACCAGCUUCCCACACCAAGUGGUGCAGCAGCAGAUUCUGAAGUUUUCUUGGACAUAUGAAGAGCUGUGAAGAAGUUGGACAUUUAACAACAACAACAACAGAUUCUGAUCUCCUUUCUCUGUCCUAUUCUAACAAUGAUUGAAAACAUCGUUUUGAGUAUCUUUUCAUCCUUUAAAAAGUCAUAAAAACAAAAACCAGGUCUGUGCUAUUGCUCUUUAACUACAAUUCAGUUUUCUUCCAGUGUGAAAAAGCCAUAAAAGUAUACAGUAUCUUUCCUUCUCUGUUCAUUUUAAGGUUCAAUUUGGUAUAUUUAUGGCAAUUAUAUAAACAUAAUUUUAGUCAUGUCUUUCACUUCAGAAAUAAUUGUUUAUAGAGUAAUUACUAAUAAGAGAGUAUUUCUGGUGAAUGUGAAUGCUAAUUAACUAGGUCUUCCCAAGGUGUCUUUACUGAAGACAUGUUAUUGAUCACUGAAGCUAAGUUGGGAAAAUUCAUCAAGUCUCCUGGAAACUGUUCUCUGUUUAAGAUAUAAAUAUUUUUUU
rnacentral:lncRNA from 7 species